GUCAGGAUGGCCGAGUGGUCUAAGGCGCCAGACUCAAGGUGCUCACCUUCCCUGCGGGCGUUCUGGUCUCUGAAUAGAGGCGUGGGUUCGAAUCCCACUUCUGACA
rfam:Felis catus isolate Cinnamon breed Abyssinian chromosome A1, whole genome shotgun sequence.